ensembl:lncRNA
UUUGGUGUGUACCUCUCUCUCUGUCUCUCUUUAUCUAAAUAUAAUGGCCUUUGGAGCAAAUGUUUCUCUGAUUGCUAUUACACAGAAUACAGAUGAACUGCAGUAAAUCUGUGCUGCAAGUCCAGAGCCUUGUCAAAGUUCUUGUUUUGGCUAGAUCAUUCUCCUUCAUCUAGAGGGGAUGGAAUGCUUGCACUUAACUUUUGUAUUGGUUUCAAUGGUAACCUCCUGCAAGGGAGUUGUGAGUACGGAAGUGUUAGCUUGCUAAUAGCCUAAAUGGAUUAGUUAGGUGAGUAUAACAAAGUUGGCACAAUGUGUUAAAAUUGCUGCAGUGUGUCUUACACUGUGCUGCAAUGGUCUGUUGUGUGUUGCUGCGAUUCCUCCAGAGAUGGAGGCUCAGGUAGAAGGAAAAAUUAUAUCAUAAGUGAAGACAGCCCAUCUUCUCUACCAGUAACAAAACAGGCAGUUUCAUCGGUUAGUUUGCCCUUUGUCAGUUCUUUAAAAUUGUUGCUUGUAUGAAGUUGCAGCAGGUUUGCAUUUUGCAAGCUGGAGACUUUUGUUGAGCUCAUCUUCCAGAAGCGCCCUUGAGCCGAGCUCUCAGCUAAUCUCUGUUGAAACUCAGUUUUGGUGACAUUUUGGGAGAUUAGGAGCUGUUUGUGAUGUCUAGAAAUGACAGUGCGAGGGUGUGAGUGUGCUUUUCUCCAGCCUCCUGCUGGCUCUGCUCACUGAGCACUCUGUGAGCUUUGAGUCUGUAUAGAUCUGCAGGAACACAGUCCUUAGCUGUCCCAUUGAAGUGAGCAGAGCUGCUCAUGGGAGCAGGGAUCACACAGCCAGACCUGGCAGCCCUGCAAACAUGAGACUCGAGGAGAGACUUCCGUACAUUAGGUUUUUAUUUAUCAACAUCAUCUUGCUGCCGAUUUAUAAGUAAGACUGUAUUUAUUCUGCAUAAAAAUGCUAAUAAAUUCCUCUCGCAUUCACUCACACAUUCGUGAGGUAACUUUAUAUUUCACGGUGACACUUAUCAUUCAAAGAUAGUUAUUUUACUGUGGCAUAUUUGCUAUACUCCGUGCCAUCAGGUGUGCCCUGUACUUGUC